UGCAAGUCGAGCGCGCCUUCGGGUGAGCGGCGGACGGGUUAGUAACGCGUGGGAACGUGCCCUUCUCUACGGAAUAGCCUCUGGAAACGGAGAGUAAUACCGUAUACGCCCUUUGGGGGAAAGAUUUAUCGGAGAAGGAUCGGCCCGCGUUAGAUUAGGUAGUUGGUGGGGUAACGGCCUACCAAGCCUACGAUCUAUAGCUGGUUUUAGAGGAUGAUCAGCAACACUGGGACUGAGACACGGCCCAGACUCCUACGGGAGGCAGCAGUGGGGAAUCUUAGACAAUGGGGGCAACCCUGAUCUAGCCAUGCCGCGUGAGUGAUGAAGGCCUUAGGGUCGUAAAGCUCUUUCGCCUGUGAUGAUAAUGACAGUAGCAGGUAAAGAAACCCCGGCUAACUCCGUGCCAGCAGCCGCGGUAAUACGGAGGGGGUUAGCGUUGUUCGGAAUUACUGGGCGUAAAGCGCGCGUAGGCGGAUUAGAAAGUUGGGGGUGAAAUCCCGGGGCUCAACCUCGGAACUGCCUCCAAAACUGCUAGUCUAGAGUUCGAGAGAGGUGAGUGGAAUUCCGAGUGUAGAGGUGAAAUUCGU
rnacentral:rRNA from 1 species